CUACGGGUCGCUCCAGCAAGGAAUAUUGGGCAAUGGGCGAAAGCCUGACCCAGCGACGCCGCGUGGGGGAAGAAGGCCUUCGGGUUGUAAACCCCUUUUCUCAGGGAAGAAAAAUGACGGUACCUGGGGAAUAAGCCUCGGCUAACUACGUGCCAGCAGCCGCGGUAAUACGUAGGAGGCGAGCGUUAUUCGGAUUUACUGGGCGUAAAGGGGGCGCAGGCGGCCUUUCAAGUCGGAUGUAAAAUCUCCCGGCUUAACUGGGAGGGACCAUUCGAUACUGUUGGGCUAGAGGGCAGCAGAGGAAGGUGGAAUUCCCGGUGUAGUGGUGAAAUGCGUAGAUAUCGGGAGGAACACCAGUGGCGAAGGCGACCUUCUGGGCUGUUUCUGACACUGAGGCCCGAAAGCGUGGGGAGCGAACAGGAUUAGAUACCCCUGUAGUC
rnacentral:rRNA from 1 species